UGUGGUGGUGUUGUGUAAUCACAGUGUUGUGAUCACGUGACCUGGCUGAAGCGUGCGUGCCGUCGGUUUGCCCUAGGGGUGACGUCUGUCGGAGUAAUCAUCAAAAGACUUGUUUUAUUGUCACUCUGCUGUACCUCAUCCCUCCUCAACCUGCCUUCCCUGGUCCCCAGACUCAAUAUUAAUCAGCACACUGGGACAGUCAUUCACGGCAGACCUACAGCUAGGGCAGGAACGCAGUGCUAUUCAAUUUCAAGAGAAGUUAAAGGAAAGUUGACCAGCAGAAUUAAAAACACGUAUGGAAUGUCUGUAGGUCUUUUGUGCGAGUCUACAGGAAAGUUUACCGAUUAUACAACUGAAAAAAAGAUUUGCUACUUUGCAAAGAAAUGGUAUGUAGUUGCUCUUACUUUAAAAACAAACUCAAAAAAGGAAAGCAAGCGGGCACACAUACACCCCCGCGCAAACACCUUAAAUGUGGUGCGAUGUGUGACAUCAAGAAUUACAUCAGUGUCUCCUUUGUCACCUGCUGUGAGAAGUGUGGCCACAGCUCAAGAGACACAGCCUACAGGACGACUUGUUAAGCUAUUCAGAAGGAUCAGAGGACAGGGAGAGAAGAGGAGGGAGACUGCUUAGUCAGCAUGUUGCUGAGGAACACCUACAGUGUUAUCACCCUGUGAACGGUAAACAACUUUACGAAGGCCAAGGCUGAUGAACGUGUCCCUGCAAUCAAGCUCUGACAAGAGGAGAGGGAACAGCGAUGGAGAGGGAGAAAGAGCCAGAGAAAAGAGAGCAGGAGCCACAGA